UACGUAGGCAGCAAGCGUUGUUCGGAGUUACUGGGCGUAAAGGGUGUGUAGGCGGCCUGUUAAGUUCCGUGUGAAAUCUCCCGGCUCAACCGGGAGGGUGCGCGGAAAACUGGCGGGCUAGAGUGCGGGAUGGGAGAGUAGAAUUCCGGGUGUAGCGGUGAAAUGCGUAGAUAUCCGGAGGAACACCGGUGGCGAAGGCGGCUUCCUGGACCGACACUGACGCUGAGGCGCGAAAGCUAGGGGAGCAAACGGC
rnacentral:rRNA from 1 species